UCUGGCUCAGGACGAACGCUGGCGGCGUGCUUAACACAUGCAAGUCGAGCGGUAAGGCCUUUCGGGGUACACGAGCGGCGAACGGGUGAGUAACACGUGGGUGAUCUGCCCUGCACUCUGGGAUAAGCUUGGGAAACUGGGUCUAAUACCGGAUAUGACCACAUCACGCAUGGUGUGUGGUGGAAAGAUUUAUCGGUGCAGGAUGGGCCCGCGGCCUAUCAGCUUGUUGGUGGGGUAAUGGCCUACCAAGGCGACGACGGGUAGCCGACCUGAGAGGGUGACCGGCCACACUGGGACUGAGACACGGCCCAGACUCCUACGGGAGGCAGCAGUGGGGAAUAUUGCACAAUGGGCGGAAGCCUGAUGCAGCGACGCCGCGUGAGGGAUGAAGGCCUUCGGGUUGUAAACCUCUUUCAGCAGGGACGAAGCGUGAGUGACGGUACCUGCAGAAGAAGCACCGGCUAACUACGUGCCAGCAGCCGCGGUAAUACGUAGGGUGCGAGCGUUGUCCGGAAUUACUGGGCGUAAAGAGUUCGUAGGCGGUUUGUCGCGUCGUUUGUGAAAACCCGGGGCUCAACUUCGGGCUUGCAGGCGAUACGGGCAGACUUGAGUGUUUCAGGGGAGACUGGAAUUCCUGGUGUAGCGGUGAAAUGCGCAGAUAUCAGGAGGAACACCGGUGGCGAAGGC
rnacentral:rRNA from 1 species